rfam:Cedecea davisae DSM 4568 genomic scaffold Scaffold0, whole genome shotgun sequence.
GCUUAUUCUCAGGGCGGGGCGAAACUCCCCACCGGCGGUAAAUCAGCUUACGCUGAAAGCCCGCGAGCGCUUCAGGCUCUGCCUGAAGGUCAGCAGAUCCGGUGUAAUUCCGGGGCCGACGGUUAAAGUCCGGAUGGGAGAGAGUAACG